rnacentral:misc_RNA from 1 species
AACGCACGAGACCUGCGGACCUGCGGAGGGAUCAUUACCGAGUUAUCCAACUCCCAACCCCUGUGAAUUAUACCUUUAAUUGUUGCUUCGGCGGGACUUCGCGCCCGCCGGGGACCCAAACCUUCUGAAUUUUUUAAUAAGUAUCUUCAGAGUGGUUAAAAAAAUGAAUCAAAACUUUUAACAAUGGAUCUCU